rnacentral:tRNA from 1 species
GGCCUGGUGGCGAAGCAGUUAACGCGUCGGUCUGCAAAACCGGUAUGCGGGGGUGCGAAUCCCCCCCAGGCCU